AUCAGGUGAGAGUUUACAGCUUACUAGUGAAAAUGAUGAAUGCGCAUUUGUUUUUAAAUUAAAUUGUUCUUGAUGUCUUUUUCUGCUUAGAUUAUGAAUUCAAAGUAAAAUUUUUCUUUUGUAACAAAUAUAGAAUGGUACUGGAAGGAAUGGAAGAAGAAACAUGUUGAGUGGUUAAUUUUGGAUGAAUAAAAGCUAGUUGAAGGUCUUUGUUAAGUUGUUCUAGUUUUCACUCUGUCUUGGUUGAGAAGUCUGAGCCAUUUGAGACUGGAAAAAGUGAAUUGACAGGUUCAUUGGUAGUGGAACCAAAAGAAGAAUUGAGAGUUUAUGGGUUAACAGUGAAAAUGAUGAAUACCCACUUGUUUUUUUCUUUUAUUAAAUUGCCCUUGACUUUUUUUCUGCUUGGAUUAUGAAUUGAGAGUAAACUUUUCUUUUGUAAUAAAUAACAUGUUGGGCGGAUAAUUUUAAGUGAAUAAAAGCUUAUUUUGAGGUGGUUUUUAAAUUGUUCUUCUUGUUUUCGGACUGUCUACGUUGAGAAAUCUGAGCCAUUUCAGAUUGGAAAGAGUGAAUUGAGUGGUUCAUUGGUAGUGGAACCAAAAGAAGAACAAACAUGCCAGGGUUUGAAUUCUUUUUCAACUGAAAAUUGUGAACAACUUGAAAAGAAAAGUCAUUGGUGGUGGAAGAAAAUGAAGAAGGAAUUUGUCAGGAUGAGAUUUCUAUUUUAGUUCAUGAUAAACCAAGUCAAUCUCUGGAUUGGUUUUUGGAGGGGAUUGUUUCCUUGUUUUGUGAUAAAGG